CAUAGUUAGUAUAUAAAAUAUAUUAGAUUUAGGUUCUAAAGAAAAAACUUAUGU
rnacentral:tRNA from 1 species